rnacentral:rRNA from 1 species
UACAGAGGGUGCGAGCGUUGUCCGGAAUCACUGGGCGUAAAGGGCGCGUAGGUGGCCCGACAAGUCAAUGGUGAAAGCUCGACGCUCAACGUCGAGUCGGCCACUGAUACUGUUGGGCUGGAGCACUGUAGAGGCUCAUGGAAUUCCGGGUGUAGCGGUGGAAUGCGUAGAGAUCCGGAAGAACACCGGUGGCGAAGGCGGUGAGCUGGGCAGUAGCUGACACUGAGGAGCGAAAGCCAGGGGAGCAAACGGG